GCCAAGUGAAAUACUGUGGAACUUCUUGUUACGAUACACACAUAUUGAUUUGGUUGGUCGUACGAUUUUUCCUAUUCUGUGGCCAUUCAGCGGCGAAAGUUCUGCACUUCGCAAGGCAUAAAUCGGUCCUCUGGAUACGCGAUUCAUAAGCAAAGCGUCAGUUCGUGGAAGGUUUGUCUGGUAUUAUUAGCGAGACGAGACUUCCAAAGGUUUCUCUUCUGCGCCUCGGUGCCUGGGGAUACACACCACUCAAAAGCUGACAGUGAUUCCGUCUACGGACGCCCCAAACCGGUGUGAUUUACCAAGAAAUGAUUGGAUGUUACCUACGAAGGCUCCGUGAUCUGUCUCUCUCCCCUUUCUUUUCGACUUGGUUCCUUCCUGGAAAAACCACUCGAAAUACUGUUCCUCUCUGAAUCCUCCGUUCCCUCUUGGUUUCUGUCGCCGCCUGUCUCUUCGUCAUGAGCUUUGUCUCAUGUGUUACUCUCCUGACUGUAUUCUCGGUGCGUGUUUCUUCUUCAUAUCUCCACUUUUCUGUCUUCUUGGGACGCGAGAGCAUACAAACAGGAUACGCGUUUUAGCGAGGCUUUGGUUUGUUUCCAACCUUCAUUCAUGGUGUGUUGGAUCGGACACAUUUGCUUCCUGGCGACGGCGGCUCCCUUGAGCGCUGGUUUUUCCCUUCAUAUCACAUGCGGUAAAAUGGGUAGGCCUUUAAAUACCGCGAUUUGCUUUCUCUCUCGGUCAACUACACGCGCGGCAAGAGUAUUUUCGUCGAGAGCGCAUGUACAAAAUGCACCUUUGGCUCUCGUGUCCUUGCACAGCACAAUACUUUGUCCUCUAUGCUUCCGCAAGGAAACCAAAAAAACAUGUUUCUCCGGAAACAAACGCACUUGGCGACCAACUCUUCAUCGCGCCGACAUGGGCUCGUUCCAAGUUUAGGUACGUAAUGGACGUUCGUCCAUUAUCGGCCGGAUUUUACACCGAACCUAAGCGCAAAAAAGGUAUCUCAUGUUUUUGCAUAGGAGCGCCUGAUUGUCGAGUGGAGUUAUUGGAAUCCCUUAGAGACGUUUUGCGGAACCCGAGAUACCAAAAACAGUCGAGCAAGUCAGAUUUAACCUCGUGAAUUGAGGCUACCCGUCGAUGCAGGCAAAAUGGGCUGGAAACCUGUCCCUAAAUUUCCGUGCUGUUGACGCGAGAGCCAAUCCAGUGUGCUUUCUUUUAAAAAGGCGCAAUUCUCCCGCGUACCCCGCGCCUGUGGACGCGACGCAUCUCCAGGUCGACGGGAAAUGUGGACGUUUUCGGCCAUUUUAUCUCUUCAGGAGCGGUGUCUUUGCUUUGAUCUCUCACGGUUCAUCGUACCACUGUAGAAAACGUGAUGCGUAUUAUAGUUUUGUUACAGUAAGAAAGCCGAGAAAACACUAAAAAAAACGUGAUCGGCUCGUGCUCUUCAGCCAAAAACGCGUAACCCGUGUACGCAAGAUCGGCACUCGGCGAGCAUUUUCAUGCAUUUUUCCACUCUGAACUGGACAACGCAGAGGAACAGCAGAAAAUGGAUCCCUGGCGUCCGCCCUCCGGUGCCAAGUUGCAUCGCGUAGAAGGGAUCCUGCAGUGCUCGACUUCGGAGGCAUCUAGUCAAGC
rnacentral:lncRNA from 1 species